ensembl:snoRNA small nucleolar RNA SNORA5
UGCAGCCAUGUCAAAUUCGGUGCCUGCCCCAUCCAUGGCAGACACUGGCCCAAAAGGCUGCCAUAGAAACACUGUGACUCAUGGGCCCUGAUCCCCUUUGCUGGGCCUCAGGGAUAAAUUUGGUUACAGACACCG